rnacentral:lncRNA from 1 species
GGAGGGAAAUAUGUGGGAUAAAACAAACAGAUUCAAAGAGUCUCUAUGAUUAUUGGAAAAUGUUCAAGUGGUUGUGCGCAAACUGCCCAUAACAUGAUAUAUUAGAACAUUCUCUCAUUCAUUAUUUUAUGAAGGACUGCUGCCCACAAAGAGAAAAAUAUUGGAUAUAGCUAAUGGCAGUACCAUAGUGAAUAAAACACCCCGCCAAACAAGAGAAUUUAUAGCAAUCAUGGCUGCCACUUCGCAACAGUUUGGUAACACGCAAGACACUCUAAGAAGGAUGAAUGAUGUAACUAUUUUUUUUUCUUGAAUAUCAUAUUUUACAACUAACUAUGUUGGUGCAAAAUAUGGUUGUAGGAAACUCCCAACAAACAAGAGUUUGUGGGAUUUGCGUGCACUUAGGGCACCUCGCAGACAUGUGCCCCAUGUUGCAAGUAGACAACUUGCAAGUCAACGUUGUGGAUGAGUUCCCAAGCUAACUGCAAAGGAGAUAGGACCCUUUCUCCAAUACAUACAAUCCCGAAUUGAGAGACCACCCUAAUUUUAGCUUUGGGCCAUGACAACAAAACUAUCAAUAAUACCCGACUAAGCUGCCGCCACCACAACAAGCAGCACCCUCUAAGUUAGUUACAUCUCUUAAAGACAUAGUUAAAUCUUUGGCUACUAACACGCAUCAAUUCCAGCAAAAAACUCAGCAAUUCCAACAGAAAACUAAAACUAACAUUCAGAAUUUGGAAACCCAAGUCAAUCAACUAGUAACAUCCAUGAACAAGUUGGAGUCCCAGGGUAAAUUACCCUCACAGAAAGAAGUGAAUGCGUAGUCAAAUAUCAGUGCAAUCACAUUACAUAGUGAGAAAUAAUUGCAAGAAGUACAUCGCUGAACAAGCCUUGGUUGAGGCUUAUAGAAGGAAGCAUAAUUAGAAGCCUUGGAUAAAACUCCAAAGACGAUAACUGAUGAUAGUACCCAUCCAACAAAGACAAAUUCUGACCAAUCCAACCCAUGGAUAAUUAAACUGUCUUUCCUAGAAAGAUUUGCCAAGAUGAAAAAAGAAAAUGAGGAGAAGGAGAUUUUAGAAACAUUCUGCAAGUUUGAGGUGAACCUUCCCCCACUUGAGGCAAUCAAACAAGGUAUGUUCAAGAACUAUGCACCAACAAUAAAAAACUGAGUAGCAAUGAAAGAGUAAGUGUGGGGGAGAAUGUUUCAGCCAUCAUACAAAGAAAACUGCCUCCCAAAUGCAGGACCAAGGUAUAUUCAUCAUUUCAUGUAAAAUAGGUACCUUGGGACUAAGAAAAGCCAUGUGCAACCUUGUGGCCUCCAUUGUCGGACAACUAAAGGAGACUGGAGUCAUCAUUCAGUUGGCGGAUAGAUCCGUUGUCCACCUCAAAGGAGUCUUGAAUGAUGUGUUGGUUCAAGUGGAUAACCUCAUUUUAACAUCUAACUUCUAUGUACAGGAUAUGGAGGAUGAUAAAUCCUCAAAAUCCUUUCAUCUCUUGCUGGGGAGACCAUUCCUUAACAUUGCUAAAACAAAAAUAGACGU